CCUACGGGUGGCUGCAGUGGGGAAUAUUGGACAAUGGGCGAAAGCCUGAUCCAGCCAUGCCGCGUGUGUGAAGAAGGCCUUCGGGUUGUAAAGCACUUUCAGUGGGGAAGAAAGCCUUGGGGCUAAUACCCUCGAGGAAGGACAUCACCCACAGAAGAAGCACCGGCUAACUCCGUGCCAGCAGCCGCGGUAAUACGGAGGGCGCGAGCGUUAAUCGGAAUUACUGGGCGUAAAGCGCGCGUAGGCGGUCUGAUAAGCCGGUUGUGAAAGCCCCGGGCUCAACCUGGGAACGGCAUCCGGAACUGUCAGGCUAGAGUGCAGGAGAGGAAGGUAGAAUUCCCGGUGUAGCGGUGAAAUGCGUAGAGAUCGGGAGGAAUACCAGUGGCGAAGGCGGCCUUCUGGACUGACACUGACGCUGAGGUGCGAAAGCGUGGGUAGCAAACAGGAUUAGAUACCCCAGUAGUC
rnacentral:rRNA from 1 species